AAUAAUAGGCAAAAACGGGAGAGAGCAGAGAGAGAAACCGAGAAGAAAGAGGAAGAAAAAGAGAAAGAAAGGGAGAAAAAGAAGAAGAAAAGAAAGAAAGAAAGGAGAAGAAGAAGGGAAAGAGGUAGUUCAAGGUCUAUCUUCAUUUUUCCUUCUUUUUAUUUUCUUCAAGAGGUAGAUAAAUUUUAUGUUAAGUUGCUAGGGUUUAAUUUGUGGCUAGAAUUUCAUAUUUAUGCAAGAUGAGUACAAAUUGGAGUUCAAGUUUGUUGAUUAUUUAAUUUUCAAUUUCAUUAAGGUAAAAAUACCAAUUUUGGCAAAUCCUAGAUUUUUAUUUGGGAUUCUUAAUUAUGAAAUGUUAGAGGGAAUUAUUAUAUUGAUGGAAAACUCUCAUCAAACCAUGAAUUUGAGAAACAAGAUAAAAAUAAAAAUAGGUGGAAUCAUUGUUACUAGUUUUCUUUAGAUUGGAAGGUAUAAUUAUUUUUAUAAGUGGGAUGAAGGUAAAUUUGGAUGUAGUAUAUAUUUGUGAAGGUAUUAGAAUGUAUAAUUAGCUCUUAUUGAUUAAAGGAAAAUUUGGAAAAAUAAUUCAAAGUAUCGAGAAGUCAAGUUUUAGUAUUCGACUAUUAAUAUUAAGAAAUACUUAGUAUGAAAUUUGUUAAAUUAGUUAUUUUACAUCGUAUUUCAGGUGGUGACGUGAAAGUUGGGCAAGACUGGGAAAUUUAACGAGAUUGCAAUACAUAGAUAUGUGAGUGGAGAACCUACUUUUCCAAUUAAAAAAAAAAAAGGGAUUUCCUUUUUUUUUUACUUUUUAUUUUAUAGAAGUAUAUUAAUUAUCUGAAAUGUCUUAUUUUCGAGAAAUUAGUAAAUGAGCAUGAUUGUUUUGAAAUUAUCAAAAAACAAUUGAUGUGAUUAUCUUACUCUAGUGCACUGAGGGGAUACAGCCGCGUACUAGAGUCAUGUAUUUAACUUUUAUACGCUAAGGGGCUACGGCCGUGUGUAAGGAUAACUCUUAUCCACUGAGGGGCUACGGCCGUGUGUAAGGGUACCUAUUAUACAUUGAGGGGCUACAACCGUGUGUAAGGGUAACUCUUAUCUACUGAGGGGCUAUGGCUGUGUGUAAGGGUACCUAUUGUACACUAAGGGGCUACAGCCGUGUAUAAGGAUGAUUAUGUUGUUUUCAUCUUGUACACUGAGGGGCUACGGCCGUGUACAGAGUGUUGAUCAGACGAUUUAUGUGUAUAUGACUUUGUAGCUUUCAGAUCAUCAGUAGAUGUUUACAUGGGGUAUAUUUUGAUGUGAAUUUUAUGUAUAUAGUGGUUUAUUAGCCUUCAACUUAUAUUUCCCCGUUUGCUGUUCAGCUUAUGGAAUUCAGAUUAUAGAAUUCAAUUCGUUCAAUUUUUAGAGUAAAGCUUCCGGUUUAUAGUAUUGAGCAACAAUAUUUCACAGAUUUUCAUAGAUGUCAGAUUAUUUAUAUUCGUUAUAUUUUUUAGUUAUUGAACUAGAAUGAAG
rnacentral:lncRNA from 1 species